rnacentral:rRNA from 1 species
GUAGUCUCGCACAGAUGCAUAUCAAUAAGCGGAGGAAAAGAAACUAACAAGGAUUCCCCUAGUAACGGCGAGUGAAGCGGGAAGAGCUCAAAUUUGAAAUCUUAAAGGGUUUCCCUUUACGAAUUGUAGUUUAAAGAAGUGUUUUCUGUUGAGGUUUUGGUAAAAGUUCUUUGGAAUAGGACAUCAUAGAGGGUGAGAAUCCCGUAUUUGACCUUUACUUUCAACUUUGUGAUACACUUUCAAAGAGUCGGAUUGUUUGGGAAUGCAGUCCAAAAUGGGUGGUAAAUUUCAUCUAAAGCUAAAUAUUGGCGAGAGACCGAUAGCGAACAAGUACUGUGAGGGAAAGAUGAAAAGAACUUUGAAAAGAGAGUUAAACAGUACGUGAAAGUUGUCAAAAGGGAAGCGUUUGACACCAGUGUUGUUUUUCUGAAAAUCAAUUAAAGAACUGUUUAUGCUAAGUUGUUUAGACUUUAUCAGCUAACUGUUUAGUUUUGAGCUUUUCUUUAAUGCACUUUUCAGUUAACAAGUCAACAUCAAUUUCUUUUGCUGUAAAAAAGCUUGAGGAAGGUGGCUUGAGAUUCGUCUUAAGUGUUUAUAGCCUCUUGCCUAUGCAGUCGGAGAGAUUGAGGUCUGCAGCGUAGAUCCUUCGGGGCUAAAUGCAUUUGUGCUAAGUUAUAACAUUUUAUAGACAACUUGUUGACUAUGAUUUGUCUUGUAGCUUACUCGCUUAUGUUAUUUUACCUACGCUUAGGAUGUUGACAGCAGUAUAGACUG